AACUUGUGAUGUGGACAAGUACUUAGCUGAUCCUUGAAUCUCUCCCAGUAAGCUCAAAAAGUCUCGUCACCCUUCUGCAUAAACUAAAUGAUCUGUUCGUGCAAAAAU